CGAACGCCUGUAGCAAUACAGGAGUGGCGCACGGGUGAGUAACACGUGGGUAUCUACCUAGCUGUACGGAACAACCGCGGGAAACUGCGGCUAAUACCGUAUACGCCCUUCGGGGGAAAGAUUUAUCGCAGCUAGAUGAGCCCGCGUCCGAUUAGCUAGUUGGUGAGGUAAUGGCUCACCAAGGCUCCGAUCGGUAGCUGGUCUGAGAGGAUGACCAGCCACACUGGGACUGAGACACGGCCCAGACUCC
rnacentral:rRNA from 1 species